rnacentral:rRNA from 1 species
ACGCUCGACACCUACGGGAGCAGCAGUGGGGAAUAUUGCACAAUGGGGGAAACCCUGAUGCAGCGACGCCGCGUGAGCGAAGAAGUAUCUCGGUAUGUAAAGCUCUAUCAGCAGGGAAGAAGAUGACGGUACCUGACUAAGAAGCACCGGCUAAAUACGUGCCAGCAGCCGACGGUAAUCUGAGCGGGCUGGCAAGGC